rnacentral:rRNA from 1 species
AUUGAACGCUGGCGGCAGGCCUAACACAUGCAAGUCGAGCGGAGCGGCGGACGGGUGAGUAAUGCCUGGGAAUCUGCCUGGUAGUGGGAGGUGAAGACAGAAAGCGAGCGCUAAUUCAGCAUGCUCUCAGAUGGGCCUAGGUCGGAUUGGCUAGGUGGUGGGGUAAAGGCCGACCAAGGCGACGAUCCGUAACUGGUCUGAGAGGAUGAUCAGUCACACUGGAACUGAGACACGGCCCAGACUCCUACGGGAGGCAGCAGUGGGGAAUAUUGGACAAUGGGCGAAAGCCUGAUCCAGCCAUGCCGCGUGUGUGAAGAAGGUCUUCGGAUUGUAAAGCACUUUAAGUUGGGAGGCGUUACCAACAGAAUAAGCACCGGCUAACUUCGUGCCAGCAGCCGCGGUAAUUC